rnacentral:rRNA from 1 species
AACGAACGCUGGCGGCAGGCCUAACACAUGCAAGUCGAACGUGAAGCAGGAGCUUGCUCCUGUGGAAAGUGGCAGACGGGUGAGUAACGCGUGGGAAUCUACCCAGCUCUACGGAAUAACGCAGGGAAACUUGUGCUAAUACCGUAUACGUCCUCCGGGAGAAAGAUUUAUCGGAGUUGGAUGAGCCCGCGUUAGAUUAGUUUGUUGGUGGGUAACGGCCUACCAAGACUACGAUCUAUAGCUGGUCUGAGAGGAUGAUCAGCCACACUGGGACUGAGACACGGCCCAGACUCCUACGGGAGGCAGCAGUGGGAAUAUUGCACAAUGGGCGCAAGCCUGAUGCAGCCAUGCCGCGUGAGUGAAGAAGGCCUUAGGGUUGUAAAACUCUUUCAUCGGUGAAGAUAAUGACGGUAGCCGAAGAAGAAGCCCG